AAUGUAUAACUGAAGCAAUGAGUAGUAAACCAAAUAAAUCAUUCAAGUAUUUAACCAUUCCACAAAUAAUUAGAUGUACACCUAAAAUGUUAGGUGGUUCAGAAAAAGCUAUUCUAUUGUUCAAUGCAUCUCGUACACAAUGGUAUGACCCAACAACCAGGCAACUAAGUGAUGCACCAGACAUACAUUUGUGUUUGCUCUGGGAAACACAAAUUUGUUAAAUUUUAAAUCUGUAAGUACGCUUCACGUAUCUCAACAAUCGCCCUCUUAUGGGUUCCAAUGGCCGACUUACUAGUUGGACGAAUACAAUUCGAAGUCGGAAUAUUAAGUGAUUCCAUUUAUAUUCUUGGCGGAUAUGACGGAUUCCAAUGUAUUAAAUAGUGUAGAGGUAUUCAACACUAGUAAUCAAGCACGGAAAAUGGUUAAAUAUAUGCCUACCAUCAAAUGGAAACUCAAUCAAACUAGGGCCAGUGGCGUGUAUACAAAUUAUUUUCACUAUGGGCCAAUUUUGGGAAUUUAUCACUAGUCAAGCAUAGCACGACUAACAAAGCCAUAACUAUACAUAUUUUAGGGAGUUGGGUGGUUAUAAUUAUGACAUAAAUAAUACAAA